rnacentral:rRNA from 1 species
CCUACGGGAGGCAGCAGUAGGGAAUUUUCCGCAAUGGGCGAAAGCCUGACGGAGCAAUACCGCGUGAGGGAUGACUGCCUAUGGGUUGUAAACCUCUUUUUUCAGGGAGGAAUAAAUGACGUGUACCUGAAGAAUAAGCAUCGGCUAACUCCGUGCCAGCAGCCGCGGUAAGACGGAGGAUGCAAGUGUUAUCCGGAAUCACUGGGCGUAAAGCGUCUGUAGGUGGCUCGACAAGUCAACUGUUAAAUCUUGAAGCUCAACUUCAAAAUCGCAGUCGAAACUAUCGGACUAGAGUAUAGUAGAGGUAAAGGGAAUUUCCAGUGGAGCGGUGAAAUGCGUAGAGAUUGGAAAGAACACCGAUGGCGAAGGCACUUUACUGGGCUAUUACUGACACUCAGAGACGAAAGCUAGGGUAGCAAAUGGGAUUAGAUACCCCAGUAGUCCUAGCCGUAAACAAUGGAUACUAGGUGUUGAACAGAUCGACCUGUGCAGUACCAAAGCUAACGCGUUAAGUAUCCCGCCUGGGAAGUAUGCGACGCGAGUAGUGAACGUAACGUAAAGAAAGUUAGUUACGUCGUUGAGACGUUGCCGACGGACGACGACGAGGGGAGGAGGAG